AGCAAGGAAUUUUCCGCAAUGGGCGCAAGCCUGACGGAGCAACGCCGCGUGUGGGAUGACGCUUUUCGGAGUGUAAACCACUGUUCGUGGGGACGAAGCACUGACGGUACCCACGGAGGAAGGCCCGGCUAACUACGUGCCAGCAGCCGCGGUAAUACGUAGGGGUCGAGCGUUGUCCGGAGUUACUGGGCGUAAAGCGCAUGCAGGCGGCUUAUUACGCAUGGCGUGAAAGCCCCCGGCUCAACCGGGGAGGGUCGUCGUGAACGGGUGAGCUUGAGGGUAUCAGGGGCUGGUGGAAUUCCCGGUGUAGUGGUGAAAUGCGUAGAGAUCGGGAGGAACACCUGUGGCGAAGGCGGCCAGCUGGGAUACACCUGACGCUGAGAUGCGAAGGCGUGGGGAGCGAA
rnacentral:rRNA from 1 species